rnacentral:rRNA from 1 species
UUGAGCUUGAAUCCUGGCUCAGAUUGAACGCUGGCGGCAGGCCUAACACAUGCAAGUCGAGCGGCAGCACGAGAAAGCUUGCUUUCUAGGCGUCGAGCGGCGGACGGGUGAGUAACACGUAGGAAUUUGCCCAGUAGUGGGGGACAACAUGUGGAAACGCAUGCUAAUACCGCAUACGCCCUGAAAGGAGGGGAUCUUAGGACCUUUCGCUAUUAGAUGAGCCUGCGUGAGAUUAGCUAGUUGGUGGGGUAAAGGCUCACCAAGGCGACGAUCUCUAGCUGGUCUGAGAGGAUGAUCAGCCACACUGGGGCUGAUCAUCCUCUCAGACUCCUACGGGAGGCAGCAGUGGGGAAUAUUGGACAAUGGGGGCAACCCUGAUCCAGCCAUGCCGCGUGUGUGAAGAAGGCCUUCGGGUUGUAAAGCACUUUCAGCGAGGAGGAAGGGUUGUAGCUUAAUACGCUGCAGCUGUGACGUUACUCGCAGAAGAAGGACCGGCUAACUCCGUGCCAGCAGCCGCGGUAAUACGGAGGGUCCGAGCGUUAAUCGGAAUUACUGGGCGUAAAGCGCGCGUAGGCGGUUAGAUCAGUCAGAUGUGAAAGCCCUGGGCUCAACCUGGGAACUGCGUCUGAUACUGUCUAACUAGAGUUUGGUAGAGGAGUGUGGAAUUUCACGUAUAGCGGUGAAAUGCGUAGAUAUUGGAAGGAACAUCAGUGGCGAAGGCGGCCACCUGGACAGAUACUGACGCUGAGGUGCGAAAGCGUGGGGAGCAAACGGGAUUAGAUACCCCGGUAGUCCACGCCGUAAACGAUGUCUACUAGCCGUUGGGAGACUUGAUCUGUGAGUGGCGCAGCUAACGCACUAAGUUGACCGCCUGGGGAGUACGGCCGCAAGGUUAAAACUCAAAUGAAUUGACGGGGGCCCGCACAAGCGGUGGAGCAUGUGGUUUAAUUCGAUGCAACGCGAAGAACCUUACCAUCCCUUGACAUCCAGAGAAUUUACUAGAGAUAGUUUAGUGCCUUCGGGAACUCUGUGACAGGUGCUGCAUGGCUGUCGUCAGCUCGUGUUGUGAAAUGUUGGGUUAAGUCCCGCAACGAGCGCAACCCCUAUCCUUAUUUGCCAGCGCGUUAUGGCGGGAACUCUAAGGAGACUGCCGGUGAUAAACCGGAGGAAGGUGGGGACGACGUCAAGUCAUCAUGGCCCUUACGAGUAGGGCUACACACGUGCUACAAUGGGACGUACAAACGGUUGCGAACCCGCGAGGGGGAGCUAAUCUGAGAAAGCGUCUCGUAGUCCGGAUUGGAGUCUGCAACUCGACUCCAUGAAGUCGGAAUCGCUAGUAAUCGUGGAUCAGAAUGCCACGGUGAAUACGUUCCCGGGCCUUGUACACACCGCCCGUCACACCAUGGGAGUUGUUUGCACCAGAAGUAGCUAGCUUAACCUUCGGGAGGGCGGUUACCACGGUGUGGAUAAUGACUGGGGUGAAGUCGUAACAAGGUAGCCGUAGGGGAACCUGCGGCUGGAUCACCUCUCCU